CGGAGUUUGACUGUAGAAGUCAAACUCCGUGUUUCCUGGAAAGCCUGAGGUUUUCAUGAUUGCUGAGUCCUGUAAUAAACUAUUAAUUAAGAUAUAUUAAUUUAUUCAGUAUAUGUCGUCUUGGACGGUCACAAAAAACUUUUAGGGUUAAAUCCUGUCCUCAAGAACUGGCUGUACCUUCACUGCAAAAAGAUAAUGGGGCGCGUGGACCCGUGCGUGUGAGUGCCCAAUCAAAGGCUUUCCAUACUUGCAGAUGUCCACCGUUGGGAUGCUGAAAGCACACGGUCAUUGCACACCGCAGACAAACACAAACGUGACAAACUUCUUAUCUCAGUUUUCUCUUCAAAUGAAUGGGAAAUGUUUUCCUCGAAACUAAAUGCACUUUAGUCCAAAGAGCGUCUAGAAGUUAAGUAGGACUACAGUCAUUCUGUUAUGGACGCGCGCUUUGGACAGGUACCCCUCAACAUUACGCACAGGCUCGGCGGGGUGAACCAGCUCGGCGGAGUCUUCAUUAAUGGCCGCCCGCUGCCGCACUUGGUGAGACAGCGGAUCGUGGAGCUCGCUCUGCAGGGCGUGCGUCCCUGUGAGAUCUCCCGCCGGCUGCGCGUCAGCCACGGCUGUGUCAGCAAAAUACUGGCCAGGUACAAUGAGACAGGAAGCAUCAGACCAGGAGUGAUUGGAGGCUCUAAGCCCAAAGUAGCCACUCCCUGUGUUGUGCAAAUGAUCGUGCAUCUGAAACACACCAACCCCACCAUGUUCGCCUGGGAGAUCCGAGACAGGCUGCUUCUGGAGCGAGUGUGUGACCAUGACAGCGUGCCCAGCAUCAGCUCCAUCAACAGGAUCAUCAGAAACAAAGUCAACUCAGAUUCUUGUGAAGUUGUGUCAUCAUCUGUUUCUACGGGAACCGCCUAUUCCUCUGAGUCCACGUAUUCCAUCAGUGGGAUUCUGGGAAUCGGGAAGUUCAACAGCAAACACAAAGAAGAUAAAUAAAAGUGAUCCUGGACGGAAGCUGUUUUGUUUCAAAGGAGGUGAUGCCCCCUGCUGCGUGUAUCACAAGCAGCCACGUUCCUGUAAUGAUGCCUGGGGAUGGUCCGACCCCUGCCUCACCUUUUACCCUGGCCUACCAACAAAUCAUAAUCCAGACUUUUUAGGGCCUCCGUGUCAUUACAGAUGAUCAGAGCAGCUCAGACAAAAGAACAUCAUCCUUUUAAUCCCAAAACCAAGAUGAUUUCAAAACUGGAUUGACUAAAAUUGUUAGAUUACAAUAUGAAUGAAAUCAAGAUAUAAACAUAAAUAACAAACAUUUUGAAAUAAAUAUGAAAUAACCUCA